CUUUACCUCUUAAUCACAACCUAAUAACGGUUAACAAAUUCAAAACAACAUAACCUCCGCACGGUGUUUUAUUUUCGUUAGCCUUUUUGUCCAUCGAGAAGCUUUGCGUUGGAGCGAAUCAAUUCUGGAACUAGGAUACAUAUAUCACCAUACCGCGGUCUCCUUCUCUCCCUUUCAAGUGUUAUCACGUGCGUGAGCUAAAUUCUACAAUCAGUGUAGGGUUGGACAAACAGAUUUAGGUUCCAAACUGUUUAAUUUCUCAGCGAGAAUGUAGUUAAAACUCGGUCUGAUAGAGGUCAAAUAUUGAGAUAAUUGGAACUGUGAUGAUGACAAGAGGCGGGAAGAAGAACUUUUGAGAAAUACCUUCUUCUAUGACCUUUAAUAACCGGUGGCUUUACUGCCUUCAUCCAUAUGAGAAGUUUCCCCUGAGCUCGAGACAUCUGCCGCGCACUCUGCGCUGUCCAAACUCUCUGCCACCAGGAAUAUUACGCGCGUUUUUGUCAUAGUUUGUUGUAUUACCACAUUGGGAAAUAUAGGGCGAUUGUUUCAUGGUAGACUUGGGUUGCAUGCAUCAAUGCCAAGAAAUUUCAUUAGGGGAACUUUGCCCAAGGAAAACGAGAGCCGUCUGUGUAGGAUGGAGCCGGUGGCCAGGGAGAGAGGGACAACAGAGAACGGAGGCAGCUCCUCUACGAGGGAGCAACGCUCCUCCUGCUCCAGCCUCAAGAUGUUCCUUGUGGCCCUAUCGUUUGCCUACUUUGCCAAGGCCUUGUCUGGCAGCUACAUGAAGAGCACAAUAACCCAGCUGGAGAGGCGCUUUGACAUCCCCAGUUACCUAACAGGUGUCAUCGACGGGAGCUUUGAGAUGGGUAACCUGUUGGUGAUAGCAUUCGUGAGUUACUUUGGUGCAAAGCUGCAUCGGCCCAAGAUCAUAGCAAUGGGCUGUGUACUGAUGGCAGUGGGAACAUUCAUCAUCGCUCUGCCACACUUCCUCAUCGGACGCUAUAAGUUCGAAACGUCAAUCCGAUCGUCAGUGAAUUCAACCAAUAACCUCUCUCCAUGUCCAGCGCGCCUGUUGUCACCCUCCUCGCAAGCUUCGGGUGACCCGCUUUCUGAGGCACCAAGCACAGGGACAGUAGGUUGUGAAGGAGAGUCCAACCUCUCCAUGUGGAUCUAUGUGUUCCUGGGGAAUGUCUUACGAGGGAUCGGGGAGACUCCAGUGCAGCCCCUUGGGAUCUCGUAUAUAGAUGAUUUCGCCAGGGAGGAAAAUGCUGCAUUUUACAUUGGCUGCGUUCAGACCAUAGCAGUCAUUGGUCCUGUGUUUGGCUAUUUACUGGGAUCUCUAUGUGCCAAAAUAUAUGUGGACAUUGGAUUUGUCAACAUGGAGAGUAUCACCAUAAGCCCUGGUGAUGCUCGCUGGGUGGGGGCCUGGUGGUUAGGUUACCUUGUAGCUGGGGUAAUCACCCUGCUUUCAGCCAUCCCCUUCUGGUUCCUGCCCCGUUCCCUGCCCAUCCCAUCAGACCGAGGCCCAGCCCAGUGCACCCCGGAGCAGACUAGCUUCAUCAAAGACUCCCCUCUCCUGGAGCAUAAGUACCAAGCCGACGAGCCAGCUGGCUUUCUGGAGAUGGCCAAAGAUUUCAUACCAACGUUGAAAACCCUCCUGGGGAACCCAGUGUACUUCAUCUACCUGUGUGUGACCAUCAUUCAGCUGAACUCUCUCAUCGGCAUGGUAACCUACAAGCCCAAAUACAUAGAGCAACAUUACGGACAGUCCGCAUCAAAAGCCAAUUUCCUGAUGGGUACAAUCAACAUCCCUGCCGUGGCGUUGGGAAUUUUCACUGGCGGCCUGCUCAUGAAGAGGCUGAAGCUGAGCAUCAUGGGAGCAGCCAAGUUUGCGUUCGGCACCUCUCUGAUAGGCUACUUCCUAUCCCUCUUCUUCUUCGUCAUGAGCUGCGAGAACGUCAAAGUGGCUGGGAUCACGCUGCCCUACAACAGGGCGGGUGGUGUAUCGUAUGAGGAGCGCUCAGUAUUCUCAGCCUGUAACUCCGACUGUGUUUGUUCAGGCAGAGACUGGGACCCUGUCUGUGGAGAAAACGGCAUCACGUACGUCUCUCCCUGCCUGGCUGGCUGCCAGACCUCCACAGGAUCAGGGAAGAACACGGUGUUCUCUAACUGUAGCUGUGUGGUGGCAGCAGGAAUGAGCAGUGGUAACCUGACAGCCAGUGUAGGCCACUGUCCUCACAGAGACGACUGUGACCGUAUCUUCCCUUACUUCCUGGCUCUUUCUGUCAUCACUUCCUUUAUCAUCUCCCUGGGUGGCACGCCAGGCUACAUGGUCCUCAUCAGGUGUAUCAAGCCUCAACUGAAGUCCUUAGCUCUGGGGUUCCAUACUCUGUCCACACGUACACUUGCGGGCAUCCCAGCGCCCAUCUACUUUGGGGCGGUCAUCGACACCACGUGUCUGAAGUGGGGACAGAAGAGUUGCGGAGGGAGAGGAGCCUGUCGGAUAUACAACACUACAGCAUACAGGAUAGCUUACCUGGGUCUGACUAUGGGCCUGAGGACAGUUUCCUUUCUGCUGUGUAUACUGGGAUUCGUGCUGCUCAAACGACACCUGCGGAGAGAGGAAUGCCGCGCCCACCAAGUGGCCAAUGGCGGAGCAGAGAUGGAGGCACUCAGGAAAGAGGAGGUCCUAGCCUCCAACUCGGACCAAUCGCUACAGACUUCCACAACAGACUACAACAACACAGAGAGAGAGACACGGCUGUGACAGUUUGAGACAAUCUCCCCUGAUCCCUCACGUUACACACACACACACACAAACACUAGAUUUGCAGGAACCAACAACGGGCUGUGCCUGACCAUCUCAUCUCAUAGAACAUAAAUGAUGUAUUUGUACUGUACCUGUCUAGGUUAUGUAUAUUUAAAAAUAUACAGUUGAAGUCGGAAGUUUACAUACACCUUAGCCAAAUACAUUUAAACUCAGUUUUUCACAAUUCCUGACAUUUAAUCCUAGUAAAAAUUCCCUGUCUUAGGUCAGCACUUUAUUUUAAGAAUGUGAAAUGUCAGAAUAAUAGUAGAGAUAAUGAUUUAUUUCAGCUUUUAUUUAUUUCAUCACAUUCCCAGUGGGUCAGAAGUUUACAUACACUCAAUUACUAUUUGGUAGCAUUGCCUUUAAAUUGUUUAAACAUUUUGGGUAGCCUUCCACAAGCUUCCCACAAUAAAUUGAGUGAACUUUGUCCCAUUCCUCCUGACAGAGCUUGUGUAACUGAGUCCGGUUUGUAGGCCUCCUUGCUCGCACACUUUCAGUUCUGCCCACACAUUUUCAAUAGGAUUGAGGUCAGGGCUUUGUGAUGGCCACUCCAGUACCUUAACUUUGUUGUCCUUAAGCCAUUUUGCCACAACUUUGGAAGUAUGCUUGGGGUCAUUGUCCAUUUGGAAGACCCAUUUGCGACCAAGCUUUAACUUCAUGUAUGAUGUCUUGAGAUGUUGCAUCAAUAUAUCCACAAUUUUCCAUCCAACAUAAUUUUCCAUCUAUUUUGUAAAGUGCACCAGUCCUUCCUGCAGCAAAGUACCCCCACAACAUGAUGCUGCCACCCCCGUGCCUCACGUUGGGAUGGUGUUCUUCGGCUUGCAAGCCUCCCCCUUUUUCCUCCAAACAUAACGAUGGUCAUUAUGGCCAAACAGUUCUAUUUUUGUUUCAUCAGACCAGAGGACAUUUCUCCAAAAAGUACAAUCUUUGUCCCGAUGUGCAGUUGUAAGCUGUAGUCUGGCUUUUUUAUGGUGGUUUUGGAGCAGUGGCCUCUUCCUUGGUGAGUGGCCUUUCCGGUUAUACCUUCAGGCGCUUGGAAAUUGCUCCCAAGGAUGAACCAGACUUGUGGAGGUCUACAAUUUGUUUUCUGAGGUCUUGGCUGAUUUUUUUUUUUGUGAUUUUUCCCAUGAUGUCAAGCAAAGAGGCACUGAGUUUGAAGGUAGGCCUUGAAAUACAUCCACAGGUACACCUCCAAUUGACUCAAAUUAUGUCAAUUAGCCUAUCAGAAGCUUCUAAAGCCAUGACAUACUUUUCUGGAAUUUCCCAAGCUGUUUAAAGGCACAGUCAACUUAGUGUAUGUAAACUUCUGACCCACUGGAAUUGUGAUACAGUCAAUUAUAGGUGAAAUAAUCUGUCUGUAAACAAUUGCUGGAAAGAUUAUUUGUGUCAUGCACAAAGCAGAUGUCCUAACCGACUUGCCAAACCUAACCUAGUUUGUUAACAAGAAAUUUGUGGAGUGGUUGAAAAACGAGUUUUAAUGACUCCGACCUAAGUGUAUGUAAACUUCCGACUUCAACUGUAUUUUAUACAAUGUUACGAGAUUGCUAGUGUGAGCUUCAGGCUGGACCUAAGUUAAGUUGAUACCAUGUUUCAAGUUCCUUGCAGACAGGCCAUGCAAUAGCAAAUGUGGUUUAUAGGAUAUUUAUUUUUAUCAUGAUAUUUUCUACCUACGGCCUACAGUGUUUUUAUUUGUUGGCUUUAUGUAGGCUAUUUUCAGAUAAUGGCAAUAGAAGUUGAAUUUGUCUAAUUUUCAUUUAGAUAUAAUUUUGAUUAACCACAUGACAUUGAUUUUGAGAUGUGAAGACUUUAUUAUGAAUUAAAUGUAACUGUUUCACAAAAAUGUGCAUUUGAAAAUCAGAACUGGCACGCAGAUCAGUAGAAAUAGUAUGAUAACUUUCCGACCGCUGGUGUAGCCUAUUAUCAGCAACUUCAGGAGCAUAAUGGCAGAAUCUGAGAAGGCCAGAGGGAGGAAGAGGGUCGGGUUCGGAACGUUUUUUCCCCCUUCUGGUUAGGCUAUAUUGAUCUCUUGUUCCCUCUUUAGUCAUUUCUGUGUGUUGAUUUUUAAUUUCAGUCCCUAAAGCAUCAGGCAAAGUAUCCUACAUACAGUAUAGUUGGUUUUAUUCAAACAUAGGGUGUCUAUAUUACACCUACAGUACCGGUCAAGAGUUUGGACACACCUACUCAUUCAAAUGUUUUUCUUUAUAUUUACUAUUUUCUACAUUAUACAAUAACAGUGAAGACAUCAAAACUAUGAAAUAACACAUGAGGAGUCAUGUAGUAACCAAAAAAGUGUUAAACAAAUCAAAAAAGAUUUGAGAUUUUAGAUUCUUCUCCUUUGCCUUGAUGACAGCUUUGCACACUCUUGGCAUUCUGUCAACCCGCUUCAUGAGGUAGUCACCUGGAAUGGAUUUCAAUUAACAGGUGUGCCUUGUUAAAAGUUUGUUUGUGGGAUUUCUUUCCUUAAUGCAUUUGAGCCAAUCAGUUGUGUUGUGACAAGGUAGGUGUGCUAUGCAGAAUAUAGCCCUAUUUGGUAAAAUACCAAGUACAUAUUAUGGAAAGAACAGCUCAAAUAAGCAAAGAGAAACAACAGUCCAUCAUCACUUUAAGACAUGAAGGUCAGUCAAUCUGGAAGAUUUCAAGAUCUUUGAACGUUUCUUCAAGUGCAGUUGUAAAAACCAUUAAGCUCUAUGAUGAAACUGGCGCUCAUGAGGACCGCCACAGGAAAGGAAGACCCAGAGUUACCUCUGCUGCAGAGGAUAAAUUCACUAGAGUGACCAGCCUCAGAUUGCAGCCCAAAUUAAUGCUUCACAGAGUUCAAGUAACAGACACAUCUCAACAUCAACUGCUCCGAGGAGACUGUGUGAAUCAGGCCAUCAUGGUCGUAUUGCUGCAAAGAAACCACUACUAAAGGACAGCAAUAAAAGGAAAGGACUUGCUUGGGCCAAGAAACACGGCAAUGGACAUUAGACCGGCUAAAAUCUGUCCUUUGGUCCGAGUCCAAAUUUAAGACUUUUGGUUCCAACCGCCGUUUCUUUGUGAGAUGUAGAGAAGGUGAACGGAUGAUCUCCACAUGUGUGGUUCCCACCAUGAAGCAUGGAGGAGGAGGUGUGGGGGUGCUUUGCUGGUGACCCUGUCUGUGAUUUAUUUAGAAUUCAAGGCACACUUAACCAAUGCAUUCUGCAGCAAUACGCCAUCCCAUCUAGUUUGCACUUAGUGGGACUAUAAUUUUCUUCUUCCAACAGGACAAUGACCCAACACACCUCCAGGCUGUGUAAGGGCUAUUUGACCAAGAAGGAGAGUGAUGGAGUGUCGCAUCAGAUGACCUGGCCUCCACAAUCACCCGACCUCAACCUAAUUGAGAUGGUUUGGGAUGAGUUGGACCGCAGACUGAAGAAAAAGCUGUGCUCAGCAUAUAUGGGAACUUCAAGACUGUUGGAAAAGCAUUCCAGGUGAAGCUGAUUGAGAGAAUGCCAUGAGUGUCCAAAGCUGUCAUCAAGGCAAAGGAUGGCUACUUUGAAGAAUCUAAAAUAUAUUUUGGGGUUUUGAUGUCUUCACUAUUAUUCUACAAUGUAGAAAAUAGUAAAAAUAAACAAAAACCCUUGAAUGAGUAGGUGUCCAAACUUUUGACCGGUACUGUACGUGAAAAUGCUGUUAAUUGACUACAGCUCAGUGUUCAACACCAUAGUGCCCACAAAGCUCAUCGCUAAGCUAAACAGGACCAAACACCUCCCUCUGCAACUGGAUCCUUGACUUCCUGACGGAUAGGCAACAACACAACUGCCACGCUGAUCCUCAACACAGGGGACCCUCAGGGGUGCGUGCUUAGUCCCCUCCUGUACUCCCUUUUGACUCACGACUGUGUGGCCAAGUAUGACUCCAGCGCCAUCAUUAUGUUUGCUGACGACACAACGGUGGUAGGCCUGAUCACCGACAACUGAGACCGCCUAUAGAGAGGAGGUCAGAGACCUGGCAGUGUGGUGCCAGGACAACAAGUUCUCUGUCAACGUGAGCAAGACAAAGGAGAUUAUCAUGGACUACAGGAAAAGGGGGGCCGAACACACCCCCAUUAUAUCGACGGGCUGUGUAGACUGGGUCGAGAGUUUCAAGUUCCUUGGUGUCCACCAACAAACUAUCAUGGUCCAAACACACUAAGAAAGUUGUGAAGAGGGCAUGACAAUGUCUUUUCCCCCUCAGGAGACUGAAAAGAUUUUGCAUGGGUCCCGUGAUCUUCAAAAAGUUCUACAGCUGCACCAUCGAGAGCAUCCUGACCGGUUGCAUCACCGUCUAGUUGCAUCACCAACUGCUCGGCAUCCGACAAUAAGGCGUUACAGAGGGUAGUGCAUACCUGGGGCCAAGCUUCCUGCCAUCCACAUUUACAUUACAUUUAAGUCAUUUAGCAGACGCUCUUAUCCAGAGCGACUUACAAAUUGGCCUAUAUCCAGGACCUAUAUACUUGGUGGUGUCAGAGUGAGGCCAAAGAAAUUGUCAAAGACUCCAGUCACCCAAGUCAUAGACUAUUCUCUCUGCUACCGCACGACAAGUGGUACCGGAGCGCCAAGUCUAAGUCCAAAAAGCUCCUCAACAGCUUCUACCCCUAAGCCAUAAGACUGCUGAACAAUUAAUCAAAUGGCCACCCAGACUAUUUGGCUCCUUUGUUCUUACACUGCUGCUACUCGUUGUUUAUUGUCCAUGCAUAGUAACAUUACCCCUACCUACAUGUACAAAUUACCUUGACUAACCUGCACCCCUGCACAUUGAGUCGGUACCGGUGCCCCCUGUAUAUAGCCUCAAUAUUUUAUUGUGUUACUUUUUAUAUAUAUAUUUCUGAGGACGCAUGGCUCUCAUCCUUUGCCUCUCCCGAGUCCGUACGGGAGUUGCAGCGAUGAGACAAGAUUGUAACUACUACCAAUUGGAUACUACGAAAUUGUGGAGAAAAAAGGGGUAAAAGUAAAUAAAUACUUUUUCUCCCCAAUUUUGUAGUAUCCAAUUGGUAGUAGUUACAAUCUUGUCUCAUCGCUGCAACUCAGCGUGUCAGCGUGCAUGCGUCUGGCCUGUCACAGGAGUCGCUAGAGCGCGAUGGGACAAGGACAUCCCUGCCGGUCAAACCCUCCCCUAACCCGGAUGACGCUGGGCUAAUUGUGCCGGCUGCGACAGAGCCUGGACUCUAACCAAGAUCUCUAGUGGGACAGCUAGCAACUGCAAUGUAGUGACUUAGACCACUACACCACUUGGGAGGCCCUAUUGUGUUACUUUUUUACAUUUUUUACUCUAGUUUAUUUAGUAAAUAUUUUUUUCACUGCAUGGUUGGUUAAGGGCUUUGUUAGUAAGCAUUUCAUGGUAAGGUCUACCUUCACCUGUUGUAUUUGGCACAUGUGACAAAUAACAUUUGAUUUGAUUUUUAUAUAUGGUAAAAUACACAUUUUCAAAUUUCGAACAAUCGAUUGGUUCUAAAGAACAGACUACUCUCGUCGACCAAUAUAUAUAUUUUUUUGUCAGGGACAGCCGUAGAAUAGGGUUCUAUUUGGGACGUAGGCCCUCUCUACUGGGUGAACUUCAGGCCUGACAUAUCCCUAUCCUACCGGUAGAUGUCUGGAAUAAGCAACUAUAUUUGUGACAGAUGCAACAACUUGAGUGUUUAAAUUGUGUUGUGAUGGCUCGGUGACCAGACAGGUGGAAAUGGCUCCUGUACACUAUAGCGUAUGUCUGUAACUGCUGGAGCCUGAUAUGAGUCGCACAUUAACCUAAUGGUGUGAAGCUCCAGGCCCAGCCAGGGGCCCUUGCUGCUCCCUGUUUCCCAGUAGGAGAUCCUGUGCCAGGCUACAGCGCCUGGCCCUGCUGGUUAUCCCCCUGGCACUCAGUCAAGUUGAGUCAGUGUUGAUUAACCAUGGGUACAUGAAAGCCACUGGGAGCAGGCCCAGGUUAUCUCCCUGACUCCAUUAAAUCUCUUUCUCUCCCUCUCUCUAUUACUCUCUUCUCUCUUGGGUCCCUCUCUCCGUCCCGCUCUCUACCUCUCUUUCAUUUCCUUGCUCUGCCUGUCUCGCUCUACCCCAUACCCUCUUUCUCGCUUCGUCUCUCUGUUUGCUCUCUGAUGUAGAGCUGUCAGCCUGUGUGUUGUGUGUCCUCUCAGUGUUUAAACUUGUAAUUACGGGCGCUGCUGUGGGCCAAAUUGCCUCUGUUACUCAAGGUGUCUGUUGCUGUGGUUGGGCAGAGAGGGGGAUGAAGGGAGGGAGAGGGGAUGGCUGGACGGACGGACGGAGGGAGAGAGGUGCAUUGAAAGAGGGUACACUAACAAGCUGAUAGAGAGCUGCAGAACGGAUAAAGUGAGGGAAUAGAAUGAAAGGAGGUAGUGUGAAGAAGCCCAGACAGAGAAGUGACAGGGUGGGAAGAGAUGGAUGAAUCGGCUGGUUGACACAGGGAGGUAUAUGAGGGAGCAAAAUCAUUCAGAGGAGUGGUGAUGAGAUGGAGAACAAACAUUGAAUGCACAUUUGCUCGUGUGCGAAAGGCACUUGUCGUCAUUGUUCUCAUUGAGCUACAUUUCAGUUAACGAGAGAGCACCAUUAAUCAAUAAGCGCCCUGUCUGAUGAAUUGUGGUGCAUAAAAUGACUGGCCAGAUGAACUAAAGAUUGGAGCGCUGCUGGAGGUGUGUGUGUGUGUGUGUGUGUGUGUGUGUGUGUGUGUGUGUGUGUGUGUGUGUGUGUGUGUGUGUGUGUGUGUGUGUGUGUGUGUGUGUGUGUGUGUGUGUGUGUGUGUGUGUGUGUGUGUGCAAGCUUGACGGCCCUACAGGCUGCUGUUAGCUUGGGUUUCUCUACCUCUUCCCCAUUUCAUCAGUGUGAGAGAAACGAGAGAGCGCAAGGGAGAGAGAGAGUUGGAAGAGAGGGUAGGCCUGCCAGAGCCUGUCACUACUGAUGUCAUCUCGCUCCAGCGCCACAGACCAGUCCACUGUGCGCUCGAUGUGGGUCAAGAUCAGUGUGUGUGAGAUGUGUAAAUAGACCAAGAAUCUGGCCUCUAGACAUGUUCCCAAAUGUAGAACUUUGUUUAAAUCCAGGAAAAUAAUGAACCAUCGCUGUAUAUAGUUUGUAAACACAUUAAUGAGAUAAAUAACAUGUGUCUGU